UGGGGAAUUUUGGACAAUGGACGCAAGUCUGAUCCAGCCAUGCCGCGUGCGGGAAGAAGGCCUUCGGGUUGUAAACCGCUUUUGUCAGGGAAGAAACGAGUUUCUCUAAUACAGAGACUUAAUGACGGUACCUGAAGAAUAAGCACCGGCUAACUUCGUGCCAGCAGCCGCGGUAAUACGAAGGGUGCAAGCGUUACUCGGAAUUACUGGGCGUAAAGCGUGCGUAGGUGGUGGUUUAAGUCUGCUGUGAAAGCCCUGGGCUCAACCUGGGAAUUGCAGUGGAUACUGGAUCACUAGAGUGUGGUAGAGGGAUGCGGAAUUUCUGGUGUAGCAGUGAAAUGCGUAGAUAUGCGGAGGAACACCGAUGGCGAAGGCAAUCCCCUGGACCUGUACUGACGCUCAUGCACGAAAGCGUGGGGAGCAAACA
rnacentral:rRNA from 1 species